AUACGUAGGUGGCAAGCGUUAUCCGGAAUCACUGGGCGUAAAGCGCGCGCAGGCGGCUUGAUAAGUUGGAUGUGAAAGCCUACGGCUCAACCGUAGAACUGCAUCCAAAACUGUCAGGCUAGAGUGUGGGAGAGGAAGAUGGAAUUAGUUGUGUAGGAGUAAGAUCCGUAGAGAUAACUAGGAAUACCAAAAGCGAAGGCAAUCUUCUGGAACACUACUGACGCUGAGGCGCGAAGGCGUGGGGAGCAAACAGCAUUAGAAACCCCGGUAGUCC
rnacentral:rRNA from 1 species